UUGGGACUAUUACCCAGCCUUAUUGCAAUGGAAGCCUUGUUCAUACAGCGUUCCAGAGAGGACUUCUAUAAUCUCCUGCCUCAGACAUAAUUAAGGUAAGGAUCAAGACGAGAUCACACUGGAAAAGGUGGGCCCUAAAUCCAGUGAGAGGAUAGGAAGGCCAGCACUCUUAUUCUGUCCUAAUAAGAGACAGAGACGGGCACACAGAGACACAGAAGAAGGCCAUGUGUUGAUGGAGGCAGAGACUGGAGUGAUGCCGUCCCAAGCCAGGGAGUGCCUGGCUCCGC
rnacentral:lncRNA from 10 species